CUACGGGAGGCUGCAGUGGGGAAUAUUGCACAAUGGGGGAAACCCUGAUGCAGCCAUGCCGCGUGUGUGAAGAAGGCCUUCGGGUUGUAAAGCACUUUCAGCGAGGAGGAAAGGUUGGUAGCUAAUAACUGCCAGCUGUGACGUUACUCGCAGAAGAAGCACCGGCUAACUCCGUGCCAGCAGCCGCGGUAAUACGGAGGGUGCAAGCGUUAAUCGGAAUUACUGGGCGUAAAGCGCACGCAGGCGGUUGGAUAAGUUAGAUGUGAAAGCCCCGGGCUCAACCUGGGAAUUGCAUUUAAAACUGUCCAGCUAGAGUCUUGUAGAGGGGGGUAGAAUUCCAGGUGUAGCGGUGAAAUGCGUAGAGAUCUGGAGGAAUACCGGUGGCGAAGGCGGCCCCCUGGACAAAGACUGACGCUCAGGUGCGAAAGCGUGGGGAGCAAACAGGAUUAGAUACCCCCGUAGUC
rnacentral:rRNA from 1 species